UACGGGGGGGGCAAGCGUUGUUCGGAAUUACUGGGCGUAAAGGGCUCGUAGGCGGCCAACUAAGUCAGACGUGAAAUCCCCAGGCUCAACCUGGGAACUGCGUCUGAUACUGGAUGGCUUGAAUUCGGGAGAGGGAUGCAGAAUUCCAGGUGUAGCGGUGAAAUGCGUAGAUAUCUGGAGGAAUACCGGUGGCGAAGGCGGCAUCCUGGACCGACAUUGACGCUGAGACGCGAAAGCGUGGGGAGCAAACAGG
rnacentral:rRNA from 1 species